rnacentral:rRNA from 1 species
UACGGGGGGAGCAAGCGUUGUUCGGAUUUACUGGGCGUAAAGGGCGCGUAGGCGGCCAGCGCAAGUCAGUUGUGAAAUCUCCGGGCUUAACUCGGAAAGGUCAACUGAUACUGCGCGGCUAGAGUGCGGAAGGGGCAAUCGGAAUUCUUGGUGUAGCGGUGAAAUGCGUAGAUAUCAAGAGGAACACCUGAGGUGAAGACGGGUUGCUGGGCUGAUACUGACGCUGAGGCGCGAAAGCUAGGGUAGCAAACGGG